GAAGUCCAGCGUGCUGCGGUUUCCCGUUACCAGAAUAGAGAGUCACCAAGAGAGCUUGCAGGCCUGAAUUAAAGCACGUUAGGGAAUUCCAGGGUAGAUGACGUCUAUGUUAAUCUGUUGGGUCCAUCUCUACCGACAUCCAUUACUGAAGUGUGGGGGCUGGAAACUUGCUGGGGAGGUCUGGAAACUGCCGCUGAGGAAGUAGCUGAGGAAGUCUGGAAAUGGCUGCUGACCCCAUUGUCCUUGCCUCAGGCCAGAUGGCAGGGAAGCUUCUGAGGCCUGAACUAGCCUGGAAUUGUCCAGUUCUUGGAAAAAGAGAUUUAGGCCUAGUCUCCUGAACUGCCAGUUUGAAGCCUGUCAUGGAGUCAGCCAAGGCUUCUCACUAGGACUACAGAGACUUCUCUCUUUUCUCAUCUGCAAACGCUUGUCAACUACACAGGCUUUCACCCAUGAAUCUGCCUGACUAAGCUUAGAUGCUGCUGACUUCCGAAAUGCUUUAGCCAAAGUUAAUUUUUACAAAAAUCGUGUACACCGCUUGUGUUUUUAUUCCAAACCAGACUGCCCAGGCCUAUUUUGUUUGCUUGUUUUUUUCUUUCCUAUGGGGCUAAAGAUAGAUGAGGGUAAACAAAAAUCUUUCAUUUAUUUUUAUGUGCAAGCUCCUAAGGACCCAUGUGCUGUUAUCUAAGCAAGGGAAGGAAACGCAGACCCGGCAGGAAUCGUCUGAGGUUCCUUUGGCAUCAAGGACCCGGCUCUCACCUUCUGGAACUUGUCUGAGUAGAGUCGUCUGCUUCUGACUGCUAAUUGCUCAUCCAAGCUAGAAUUGACAGAAGAGAGAGAAGGUUCUAGAAAUUUGUCAUCUCUUAGCAUCCGAAUGAGACCCCCCUUUUUCUGCUCCCCUCAGAGUGAAGAUGAACCGUCAAUGGACAUUGGCAAUGACUAGGCCAGAGCUGAAGCAUCAAUGCUGUUCUCCCAAGAUGGAGAUCCCAUAUCCUGUGUGAGUCUGAUGUGCAGGCUACCUGGCUUGAGAUGCAGGUCUAAGGACCCUGCUGCUCUGGGACUGGAUGGUAAGCAAUAGGACUGGUACCUCUCUCCCUUCAGAGUCUGUUGGAGCUGCUGAAGUCAUGAAAAAAUUCUUUCUACUUCUUAUGUGUUGCUCAGUGCCAACUUUGGUUUGCCAAUCUAAGGGCCAACUCUGAGCCAAGUUAUGGAAGUCCUGGAAAGGGGUCAGGGACUACUAUCACAACCAGGCAGUAAAAGUGACAAAUGCUGUUAUUACCCCCCUACACACACACACACACACACACACACACACACACACACAUCCCUUCCAGGAAUAACAAUAACAAAGCCAAACUCCCUGCUUUCUAGUUCAGGUUUCUUCACAAGGAGACAGCAGACCACAGUUGUUCAUAAAGUCUCUUUUCAGCCCUGCUUGCUUGUCCUUGUCCAGGGUUCAGCUAAUGAGUUCCCACAGAGCACAGGCCAGCAGGGGAGGCGGAGAUCACAGAAGAGAAAGAGUCAGCUUCCAGGUCUCCUGUGGAUUCUAGAAUGUGAUGGAAAACCACAAGUGUUUCUGGAUGGAUGCUGUCAAACACAGCAGUGACUGUUCACUGUUGCUCUGGUCAGGGCUGGCACACAUGUUCCUGCCUGUGGGUGUCCCCCUCUGAAUGGGGCUCAAAUGAGAGAAGGGUCUCUUGUCACUUGAGCCUGCUCUCCCAAAGGCCUUUGUGUCAGAGCCAUUUCUAGAAGCCUCGGAAGGAGACAAGUUAGCCAUCCUGAGACUUUGCAACAAACCCUCCGCUCUUCUCUUCACAUGACUUUCAGCCUGCUAGGUGAUCCUGCCCACACCAUGUUCAAGAUCAGUUUGGGAUCUGCACCUAUCAGAUUCAGAGAACCAGAAUUGGCGUCAGACAUGGGCUACCAGAUUAUGGAGAACUGCCUGAUGUAACACCGAGUCUGCACUCCGUGAGGCCCCUGCAAAUGUGGAACAUGAGUGCCUACAGGAUGAACUUCCCGACCAGGGACCCUCCACUCUGCUCUUAAGACCUUCCAACUGGUUGAUUCAAACUCGCCCUGGAUCUAGGAUGCUCCCUUAACUAAAAUGCAUGUGAUUAGGGAAUCCUUUUUCAUGUGCAUGUGUGUGCGUGCAUAUAUGCACGUCUGCGUUCAUGUGGGAGUGAUAUGUGUGUGCAGUGUCCCUGCGUUACGUGAGCUUUCAUAUGAAGGUACAAAGUUGAUGUGGGGGGCAGUCUGCCUAGAUUUCAAGUAGGGUCUCUUGCUUAACCCAGAGCUCAACAUUCCAGCUUUUUCUUGCAAUCCCCUGUCUCUGCUUCUCAAGUGCUGGGAUACCUUACCUGGACCUGCCUGGCUGUGUAGAUGCUAGGGAUCUGAACUCUUGCACUCACGUUAAACCAAAAGUGAUUCAUCCACUAAUCUGUCUUCCUACCCCGACUAGAGAUUUAAUCGCCCACAUAAAACAUCUUCAUUGUAACCCCCAGACUACUGCUUGAGUAACAGUGUGAUUUAGUGGAGCUAAUGCAUACCACUCGGUGGCAUCAGCACAACUCUGUCCUCUAUAGCUGCCCUUGGCUGGGGCUUUUGCAUUUUGCUCCAAAUUAUAGCUAGAGCCUCUUCACUUGUCCCCUGCUUCUUCUCCUGUCCCCUCUGUCCCAUCCACUGCCUCUAGCUGUUUUCAGCUGAGCAGAGUGAACAGUUGUCAGGUAGAGUGCAAGCCAUCUGCCAUUGCUCAAUCCCUUUGUGGUGGGCAGAACGACAGUUCCCUAGAGAUGCCUGAGUCCUAAUCCGUGCAGCUCAUGGCUGUGUUACCUUCCCUGGUAACAAAGGAACUUUGUAGGGGUCAUUGGGGGCCAGUUUUAACUUGAGAUUGUCCUGCUUUAUUUAAAUGGCCCACUCUGUUCUGGUCCUUAGAAGCAGUUCAGGGGACUAGGGAGACAGCUCACAAGCCUGGGGACCCAAAUUCAAUAGGCAGAAGCCAUGUAAGGGUGGACAGAGUGAAACAAUUUCACGAAGUUGUCCUCUGACUUCCAUACACGCUGUGGCAUCCGAACCCCACCCCUCGGCCAUCACGAGGGAGGAAAGUGGAUUGCAGAAGCAGAUGUGGGAAAGACUUGCCACUCUAUGCUGACCUUGAAUAUGGGGGAAGAGUGUUGGAAGCCAACAGCAAGGGGAAGGCAACCUCAGUCCUCUAAGCACUGUCCCCAAAUGUCACUAGCAAGACAAACAAGUAGCAGCCGGAUUCUGGAAGCCUGUUGAGAAGAUCUUGAGAAAGCCUCCAAAACAUCAUAUUUAGUAAUUCCUGGAGAUUUUCUUCUCCUCGAGUUCCCCCUUAACAAUCAAGAGUUUUAUUUUCUUACAUUUCUUUAGUACAGAUGUUCUAAUAAAGCCACUAGUGAGAGUGAGUGACGUCACAUAUCAGAUUAGAAUUUUCUGCACUGUAUCAGGAAGUGUCAUCCUAGAUGCCUUUGGAAUUGGUUAAGAAUCUUCUAGUGAGAGAUGCAGUCACAUCAAUGGCUUCACGUUGUCGGGGAGGCCAUGUUGGACUACCAGUCUGCAGAACGACAGCAAGUUUGCGUUGUGUCAGUCACAGCCUUGUACUAUGGCAGCUUCAGAAAACAUACAGCACUCCGAUGACUUCCCAUUAGCUGUAGAGUUGAGAUCCAGCUCCCUUCAGUCCCUCCUUGCCCUGACUUCCGCAGUGGUUUCCUAGCCACCCUCCCCUUCCCUCACACCUGCCCCACUCAACCACAUCAGGAGACCACACCAGGAGGAAGUCACAUCAGUUCCAAUCAGGAGUCAAAAUAAAUAGCACUUUAAUGUAGCAUCAAAGUUAAUGCAACUAUAUGUGGCAAACAAAUAUUGAAAGAAGGACGAGAUCCAGUCGCAGGAUUUGCUGGGCUGGUCUUUGCCGCCUAUUGGCUCUGACCAUUGCAGCUCUCAAACUUCCAGCCCCACUCCCAUAAUUCCUUGCCCCCCCCCAUGCCUACAAGGCUUUCUCUCUCAGUAGCUUCAUCGUAGUUUUAUUGUUGUUACUGUUUUCUUUCUUUUUUUCUUCCUUCCUUUCUUUCUUUUUUGUUUUUUUAUUGAAUCUUUCUAUUGUGGCCCAGGCUGGCCUCAAACUUUCCAUCCCCCUGCCUCUGGCUUCCAAGUACUGGGAUGAUGGGUGCGCACCGUCGAACCCAGCCUCAGCUACUUACUGAACCUUUCCUGACUAUUUGUUUAAAAUCAUAUUGCCCCUCACCAUCAUUCUGUGACUGUUUUCCCAGAAAGAUGGAGAUGACUAAUAUUUCAUUUCAUUUAAUCACUGUUCUUCAUUUCCAGAUAUGUCACCUAACAAUCGUGCAACACGCAUAAAGGCUCAGUAAGUUUGCAUGGUAGGAAGGAAGGAGGGACAGAUGGAGGGAGGGAGGAAGGGUAGAGAAAAAAGGGCAGAAUGUAAAGCAACAGCUCUUUGUCAAAGCAUGUGUGUUCAUGUGUGGGUGUCUAUACUUAUUCUUGUAUGUAUAUGUGUGAGUGAGAGAACAUGUGUGUCUGGGUAUUGUGUAAUUAUGUGUGUGUAUCUGUAUGUGAGUAUGUGUAUGUGUGUGAAUGUAUGUGUGUGUGAGUGUGUGAGUGUGUGUUUAGUGUAUGUACGUACGUGAGAUUUAUGUGAGUGUGCAUGUAUCUGUAUGUGAGUGUGUAUGUGUAUGUAUGUGUGAACAUAUGUGUGUCUGUAUGUGAGUGUGUAUGUGUAUGUAUGUGUGAACAUAUGUGUGUUUGUAUGUGAGUGUGUGUGAGGGGGUGAGUAUAUAUGAGUGAGAGCAUAUAUAUGUGAGUGUGAGUAUGUGUGAGUGUAUACAUGUGAGUGUAUGUGUGUGUGUUGUGUGUGCAUGUGUGUGCAUGUGUGUAUAUGUGUAAAGAAGGACUUUCUCACUGCAUUACUGAAGGCAGGACUCCCUGAAGAACAGCAGUAAAUUUUAGUUUGCUUGCAGAAACAUUAAUUUAUGAGCAAGCUUCAUUUUUCUUCUCCCUGGGGGGUUAGGCAGCCCCGGGAGCCAGUGUGUUCUCUUAGAUAACUGGCAGAUGUGGACUGUGGGCUGGCUCUCUGCUUUCUUUUCUAGGAAUUAAGCUAAAUGUGGUUUCCACUGAAGCUCCAGGAAAGUUUGAAUCCUUUGCAGCUUGGUGAUCUGGUGAGACUUAGUCUUUGUCACGUUGGAUUUAGUGAUGCCUAGAGAUUAUAUUCUAUUCAAGUCGCCCCUCAACCCGAUCAACCUGAUUUUCUCUCUCUCUCUCUCUCUCUCUCUCUCUCUCUCUCUCUCAUCUACUUCUCUCACUCUCUCCCUUUCUCUCUCCCUCUCUCUCUCUCAUCUACUUCUCUCACUCUCUCCCUUUCUCUCUCCCUCUUAAUGAGGAAAUUUUAGCAAAGACACUAUUUAAAAGUCAGUGAUAUUUUAUACUGUAGAAAAUCUUGUUUCUCCUACUUAGAAGAGACAGUGAGAUUGUGUAUUCUUGUGAGAGGUUAUUGAAGAAGCAAAAGUUUCUGAGCAGAUUCAGAAAACCACGGCCAACUUGUGCAGUGUUCCCCCUGGUGUUAAAAAGCCUGUCUCCAAGUCUUUAGUUACUUAGAAGGGAACUGUGAGUAUCUUGGAUCAGACCCUGGGAGAUGGGGGGAAGAUACUGACAGAAAGGUGGUGAAAUAUGAACGGCCUGGGGUAUAGUUGUACUGUAACUUCACACAAGCUGGAGUUAUCACAGAGACAGGAGCCUCCCUUGAGGAAAUGCCUCCAUGAGAUCCAGCUGUAAGGCAUUUUCUCAAUCAGUGAUCAAGGGUGGAAGGGCCCAUUGUGGGUGGUACCAUCCCUGGGCUGGUAAUCCGGGGUUCUAUAAGAAAGCAAGCUGAGCAAGCCAGGGGGAAGCAAGCCAAAAAGCAGCACUCCUCCAUGGCCUCUGCAUCAGCUCCUGCCUCCAGGUUCCUACCCUGUGUGAGUUCCUGUCCUGACUUCCUUUGGUGAUGAAGAGCAAUGUGGAAGUGUAAGCUGAAUAAACCCUUUCCUCCCCAACUUGCUUCUUGGUCAUGAUGUUUGUGCAGGAAUAGAAACCCUGACUAAGACAAUAGUGAAUGGGGAUGAUAGUAAUUUCUAAAUCGUGAUUAAUGUACCGUGGUCAUGACAGAUCUCAACAUCAAGGGACACUCAGAGUCCUCAUUCUCCCUGCAGGCUUUGUGUAGGCUUAAAAUUACUGUAGAGUAAAAAACUUAGGACUGAGCUGGAGAGGUGGCUCAGCGAUGAACACUGGCUGCCCUGCAGAGGGUCCUGGCUCAUUCCCAGCACCCACAUGGCAGUUCCCAGCUAUCUGUAAUUCCAGUUACAGGGGAUCCAAAGUCCUCUUUACCAAAGCAUCUGAGGCCACCAGGCAUGAACAUGGUACACAUACCUGCAGGCAAAAAUUCAUAUGAAUAAAAUAAAAAUAAAUAAAUCACUUAGAUAAAAAGUUUAAGCUAAAAAUAUAGACUUCAAUUCCUAGUGGAGAGGAAAGUAGAAACAGCAAGUAUGGAAGGGGUCAGGAAAACUGGAGUCAGCUUGGAAACCCUCAGGCUCACGUCCAUCCUUGCUAUUUUUAGCUGUGCGGAGCUGGCCUGGACACUCACUUCUCUGAGUCCCAGUUCCCUGGGACUCCAUGGUGCUAUCUGGGAGGCAAACCAGGACACUGCUGAUGUUGCCAUGGGUAAUGAGCAGGGAUGGUGGUGGUACUGACAGAAAGGGACCCAAUCCUGCCCCUGAGCACUGAAUCCCUAAUAGAGUAAGUUCAAAUCUCAGCAUGUGAUUAGUACCUUUAAAAUAAAAGUGUGUGCAUGUAUGUGAUUGUGUGUUCAUGUGUGUGCACAUAUGUGUGAGAGUGUGUUUGAGUGUGUGUGUACAUAUGUGUAUGAGCAUGUGUGAUUGUGUGCACAGGUGUGUGAGUAUAUGCACAUGUGUGUGAAUGUGUGUUUGAGUGUGUGUACAUAUGUACAUGAGAGUGUGUCUGAGUGUGUGUACACAUAUGUGUAUGAUCGUAUGUGUGUAUGCACAUGUAUGUGCAUGUGUUUGAGUGUAUGUGACGUUUGUGUGCACAUAUGUGUAUGAGCACGUGAGGGUGUGUAAAGGUCAGAGGUGAUGUUAGGUGUUUUUAUCUUCCCCACAUGGUUUUUUGAGAGAGUCUUUUAUUGAACCUGGUUCUCACCAAAUCAUCUAGGGCCAUACUUCCUCCAGCUCAAACCUACCGAGACAGCACCAUCAACUGGGAGCUGGUGUUCAAACAUCUGUGUCUCUGGGAGCUAUCUCGGCCCACCACUGAAAUCUUCAGCAGUUUCAAGAAAGAAGAUUUCACCUGUGGGCAUGUCUUAUCUAACCCUUCCUAUAGUGACCGGUACUGGCUAACUGCAGUUUGUUCCACUAACAGAAAACUACACAGAGUGCGGGUGACGUAGGUCAAUGGCAGAGUGCUAUGUAACAUGAGCAAGGCCCCGGGCUUGACCUCUAGCACCCUUAAGAAAAAUGACUCUGGAGUAUGAAGUGUGUAAAUUAUCACUGAUUUUUAACGGUGUUUCUGAUAUUUGCAUAUCAACAGUGGGGCAAAAGAUGUGACUAUUUAACCCCUAUAUGGGAUUACGUUUCCCCUGAAAGCUAAUACAGCGUUUCAAACUCCCAUCAACCCUGGAUACGAAUACGUUUAAAACAGGUUUAGCUCUGUUGAUUUUUUCUGUUGCUGUGAUGAAUUACCCUAACAAAAGCAACUUAAGAAAGAUGUCUCCUGGCUCACAGGCGGUCAGGAUGUCAAGGUGGCAGGAGCUGAAGCUUCCAGCCUUGUGGUAUCCACUGCCAGGAAAAAGUGUAGUGCACAGUAGUAAUCUGUGUUGGGAGACACUCAGCCCAGGCAACCUCAAUAACCGACCAGGAAAACCCAGGGCAGGCCUGGCAGGCCCACCUCAUCUAGACAACCCCACACCUUUUCCAGGUGACUCUAGAUCUCAAGUGGAAAUCAGCCAUCCGCCCCACAUGCUGGGCGAACAAUGAUUUUUAGUGUUGCUUUACAUUUUUUUCUCUAUAAAAAGUUAAUUUUCUAACAAUUAAACAUCCAUGUUCGGCGACCGCUCUGCCACUGAGCUGAGCUGGACCCCUAACACCUCUUACUUUCAGUUCUGAGACAGCAACUUGCUAUGUUGCUGUGUAUCCCCUGGUUGACUGGAGCCGGUAGGACUCCUAAAAGGCCUCAGUAUCAAGUCUAGUUUGCGUUCUCAGGGUACGUGCUAAAACGGAGGUUCUCAACCUGUGGGUCACAGGGGUUACAUAUCAGAUGUUUACACUGUGAUUCCCAACAGUGGCAAAAUGACAGUUAAGAAGCAGCAGCGAAAAUAAUUGUCACCACAACCUGAGGAACCGUAUUAACGGGUGGCAGCACCAGGAAGGUUGAGAACCACUGCUCUAAAACCACAAGGUGGAGGGAAACAAGCCUUCGCAGAAGCAUACAUGUGAGCUAGCUGUGAAGGGCAGCUCAUUGUUCUCCUUACUUCUCCAGGUCAUUCAGCUCCACUUAGCAAGGGAAGUCAUGCUUGGCAAGUGGGCGGUACAAUCGCUACAUGAAUAUCCAGUAAUCGCUCUUUUCUACCUUAUUUGACUUGGGCAGCCUUAUCCGAGCAUACACAGGUAGAAUCGUUUGUGUGAACCCAUGACUGUACAGGUUGAGGCUCCGUUCCAGGCCUGAGUUUCUACUUCACGUCUAAGAUGGGUUCUGCCCUCUAGGUGACUGACAUCGAGAAAUCUCCUUCUUACUGACUUGACAGCAGCACAAAGAAAGAGGUGACCACACCCUUGUGGGACAUCAAAACCCUAUCUUUGUCAAACAAGUUUCAAAUCCAGCAAGAGACACGGGUGGUGGCUAUGUGGGUCAGGUAUGGGGGUGCGUGCCUAUAAUCCAAGCUCCCGAAAGCCAUGGUAGGAGGACUGAGAACUUAAAUCUGGCUGUGAUCUCUCCAAAAUUCUGUACUUCUAAUUAUUUGUGAAGAAGAAACAUCUUUUACAUAUUUAUUCUAUUGAGGUAUUUGCAUUUUUAUGACUUCCAUUUCUGCCUUUUACUGGUUUCUCAUUUGGGGUCUGUGGUUUUCUUUGUGUGGAUUUUUCUUAUGUUACCUUUGCUAAUUUUUAUCUCACAUCUGCGGAACAUUUUCUUCAAUCCAUCGCUUUUUUUAUUUGGCUUUGUUUUCAUCAUUGGCUUGUGCACCACAACCAUGUUGUGAUUUCAGAGUGAAUGAGGACAGGAUGUUUUACUGAGAUUUUUGUCUCCAUUGCCACUCAAUUUCCUUUUCUUGACUUUGCAGGGAGGGUUGAAGAUGGAUGCUCAAAGUCACCAUGAGAUCGUCUUCAUCAUGGUGGAGCACCUUUACCCUACUUUAAAGUUCACUUGGGACAUAGCUGCAGGCUCUUUCUCCCAGCCCUAAGUGUCAUCCUGUUCCAGAAACAAUGAAACAAAUGCCGGCCUAAAUGAGGGACAAAGGGGCAACAGGAAGCUCCAGAACAAAGCUUCCACACACACUACCCUCUGUGGAAGCCACAGGCAGUGGAAAACAUCCACAGAACGCCAACUAUCCAAUGGGAUGCUCCACUGACGCCUGAGUCCUGACCUAGGUGCUACAUCCCAGUAUGCUCAAGGUUGCUAAGGACAGUGCCUGCCUCCGAGCUGAGGACCGGGUGUGGCUGACACCUUUCCCGUCCUUCCCUGCCUCAUGCAGGUCUUUAUUCUGAGACAGUGAGUUAGAGUUGAGCACGGGAGCACCAGUGACCAGCAAGGAUGCUCCUGGGUCUGUAUUCCCAGCCGCCAUCUUAGGGCCCUCCCUGGCCUCCCAGCCUAGAGCCAUCUUCUAAGUCCCACGGUAAGUGUGAGCAGAGCCUCUUCUCAGGCUUCCUGUCUAUUUCCUACACCCAGCAUCCUCUUUAUAAACCCUGCCGUUUUCAACUGUCCCUUUCGUUUGUCCCCCGCUUCUGCUCUUGCACCACAGUCCUUUUCACACGCCCAUUAGCCCUGUAUCAUCCAAACUGUCAUCAAGCUUUAAGGGUCAAAUCUGGACCUUGGUAGCCCUUACACACUAGCCUUUGGCGUCCAUCUUCAGUAUGCCAAUUAAAGAGAUGCAAAUUAAAUAGUGAGAAACAGAGAAGAGAUUUGUUCCGUGUGGCUGCCUGGAAGGAGAAACAGAUUCAGUGACUUGAGGUUUAUUACAGGGUAAGAGUGUGAAGAGGUCAGCAGGACUAGGCACUCCUGGUCAGGGUGUGGUCCCACUUAUCAUUGACCCUGCAAAGUGGUUUCAGUCAUCAUACAGGCGAAAACUCUUCCUGGGUGACAAACCUUUUCCUGAAAGACAAGCACCCCAUCUAGAUGGCCCCACCCCCAACGCCUACCACCACUGCCAGGGAGACUCUUAAGAAA